AGUGAUUCCUACGGGAGGCAGCAGUGAGGAAUAUUGCUCAAUGGACGAAAGUCUGAAGCAGCAACGCCGCGUGAGGGAUGAAGGUGCUCUGCAUUGUAAACCUCUGUAGUUGGGGACAAACGUCGGGUUACUACCCGAGUGAUGGUACCCAAAAAGUAAGGAUCGGCUAACUACGUG
rnacentral:rRNA from 1 species